UACGUAGGGUGCAAGCGUUAAUCGGAAUUACUGGGCGUAAAGCGUGCGCAGGCGGUUGUGCAAGACAGAUGUGAAAUCCCCGGGCUUAACCUGGGAACUGCAUUUGUGACUGCACGGCUAGAGUGUGUCAGAGGGGGGUAGAAUUCCACGUGUAGCAGUGAAAUGCGUAGAUAUGUGGAGGAAUACCGAUGGCGAAGGCAGCCUCCUGGGCCAACACUGACGCUCAUGCACGAAAGCGUGGGGAGCAAACAGG
rnacentral:rRNA from 1 species